rnacentral:rRNA from 1 species
AAGAGGGAACAGCUCAUCAUUGGAAUCAGACAGGGCUUGGCUCUGUCCGAGUUGUAGAUGAGACGAGUAGGUUCAUCUGGACUGCAUGGCACUCAAGUACGAUAAUGCCCAUCAGUGGGACAUCAUAGAGGGUGACAAUCCCGUCUUUGGUGCCGAUGUUCGAGUCCUUUACGAUGCCUAUCUCAGGAGAGUCGAGCAGUUUGGGAUUUGCUGCUUCAACAUGGGAGGUAGACACCUUCUAAAGCUAAAUAUUGGCAAGAGACCGAUAGUGGACAAGUACCGCAAGGGAAAGAUGAAAUAGCACUCUGUAAAGGGAGUCAAAAGACGUGAAAUUGUUGCGAGAGAAGCGAUUCAAGUCAGCUUGGCUAGGACCAUCGACGGAUUCUUUCGUCUGGACUAGUCUCGCCAGCGGUCUCAUCUCAAAGGGUUUGACCGAUGCGCCCUCAGUUGCGCGGCUGGUGGAAUGGCUUGCAAUCGACCCGUCUUGAAACACGGACCAAGGAGUCUAACAUGCAUGCAAGUAUAAGGGUGACAAACCCGUAUGCGCAAUGAAAGUAACUUUCGGUGAUUGCUGUGUGGCCUGACGACCAGACACGAAACGUGUUGUCCCUCGAAUGGCCACUGCCCAGGUUCCGUGGUACGAUCCCAUGAACAUGGAGACGGAGCAUGCAUGCUAGGACCCGAAAGAUGGUGAACUAUGCCUGGACAGAGCGAAGCCAAAGGAAACUCUGGUGGAGGCUCGUAGCGAUUCUGACGUGCAAAUCGAUCGUCUGAUCUGGGUAUAGGGGCGAAAGACUAAUCGAACC